AACAUUAAGAAAGAGAUUCUGUAUUUUCAUUUCUUAUCUGCCCUACAAAAAAUGAUGAAUAAGAAUUAACGGGCACUGAAGUGUAGUAAAAAUUGAAAAUUCCUUUGAAUUGUUACACGGGCACUGUAAUAAAGUCUUAUAUCGCCAUUGAAUAUAAGAUCCUGAGACUACCAAGAUCUUAAAUGGAAUGUGGAAUAACCUCAUGAGGCAAUCGAAACAGAAAGCUGCGUUCUAUACAUGUAUUAUGUAAACAUCAUAUAAAAUCACAGACUUAUACAUGUUAAAGGAGACCUGGCCUGUGGAAGUGAAAGCAUCCAUAUUUAUCAAAACAAAGAAACGCCAUUGCUUACAAAGGACUAAGAUAUAUUGGUAUUCGUGAAAAUAAUAAUGGACAAAUUAAGCAGCCUCAUGUCUGUUGCUUCUGGCAUGGCUGAACUACUGGGGACAUCUGGUGAAGCACA